UGGGGAAUAUUGGCACAAUGGGCGCAAGGCCUGAUGCCAGCCAUGCCGCGUGUGUGAAGAAGGCCUUCGGGUUGUAAAGCACUUUCAGCGAGGAGGAAGGUGGUGAGCUUAAUACGCUCAUCAAUUGACGUUACUCGCAGAAGAAGCACCGGCUAACUCCGUGCCAGCAGCCGCGGUAAUACGGAGGGUGCAAGCGUUAAUCGGAAUUACUGGGCGUAAAGCGCACGCAGGCGGUUUGUUAAGUCAGAUGUGAAAUCCCCGGGCUCAACCUGGGAACUGCAUUUGAAACUGGCAAGCUAGAGUCUCGUAGAGGGGGGUAGAAUUCCAGGUGUAGCGGUGAAAUGCGUAGAGAUCUGGAGGAAUACCGGUGGCGAAGGCGGCCCCCUGGACGAAGACUGACGCUCAGGUGCG
rnacentral:rRNA from 1 species